UUUUGCUUGUAUUUUGGAGAAACUCGAUUGAUUUCUAGCAAACUUGGUUUACCACUACAUCGUCGCUUAUUAUUAUUUGGUGGACCGGCAGUGCUGAGUGAAUGCGGUGUUGUUGUUUUUUGCGCUGAAAACGGGGAAUGGGCCUAACCUAGGAUGUCCCCAGGGGCAUUUGACGGGGAUCUGGUCAUUUUGUAACCUUACCAUUUCGUAACUGCUGAAUCUUGGUUAUUUCGUAACCAUUUUGUUAGUCAAUUCGUAACCGUCAAGAAAUCAAUUGCUCAUAUGGUAACCACCAUUUAACAAGGUGAUAAAUAGUACACUUAGCACCUCGUGAAGUGUAUUGUUCGAACCUGGAUGUAUAUGGCACAGCAACCAAGACACCAAUUGGGAGACAUUACUCAAAUUCUCACUAGUAACAAGCCAAUAAUUUAUGUUACUCAAUAGUUAUUAUAUAUAUAUAUCAUGCUAAAUUAGAAAUGAUUUGUUAUACUACCAAAAUAUGUUAAUUAUUUUCUUACAUUUUGCUUACUUAUAAACAAUAAUUUAAGACUGAUUGCGAUGUAUUUUUGAGUAAAAUUACGUUUACAUAAAUGAUCAUUCUUGACCUAUUUCAUUGACUAUAUUUGUUUGAAUUGUUUAAAACGAACAAAAUUGAUCCAUAUUCUGCAUACUUUAUAUCCGAAACCAACAAAAAACAGCCUAAAAUGAUUAGUUAUGGUACAGUGGAAACUCAAUAAACUGGAUCUCCACAAAACCGGAAUGCUCGGGAUACUGGAUUUUAUCAGAGUCCCGGUUUUCCCCUUCUAUUAUCAAUGUAAAAAAAUCCCUACAAAACCGGAACCCCGGAAUUCCGGAUACCGGACAAAAAAUCGAGAAAAUUUGUUAGUUGUCAACGUAAUUUUGCCUUACAAAACCGGACGUUUUGUUCAAACAUGUCAAAAUAAUUAUGUGUAUUAGGAAUUCGCGAAUCACGUGUCACUUUGUUUUGACAGCCGGUACGUCUUUAAAUAUUACACCUGUGAUGUUAUGUUAACAUGAUAAUCGAUAAUGAUGAUUGCGCUGUGGAUUGACUGUCGUGCGAUAAUCAAACGAUAAUCAAACUUGUAAAAAGAAAAUUGAUUAAAACAUUUAUUUGUUUGUUGCAGAAAAUAAAGAACUAGAAACGGUUUUUUAGUGAUCAUUUUGAAGGGUUGUUUUAUCUAAAGACUCUAUGAUUGAAUCAAAUUAGAGCGGUGCUUUAAUUAAACUAUCAAACAUACUUAACAAGCAUUAAAUUACGAGAGUUGUUUUAUUUCAAGACUUGGAAAAAAGAUGGUUAUAAAAACGCAGAAAUGUUUAAUUAUGCUUAUCACUUUUGCAAGUGCUUUAAUCAUGUCUCAACCUCCGUCUAAAGGUCGGAGAAUUGAACUGUCCCUAGAGGACAAAAGCCUUUAAAGGUUAACUCAGUUAAUAUAUUGAGUAAACUUACUCCGUACAUCAAAUCCCCAUUAAACCGGAAUCCUCACUAAACCGGAAAUUUUGCCCAGUCCGGACCUUGUCCGGUUUAGUGAGUUUCCAAUGUAUUAAUUUCCAAUAACAAGUUACAAAAUUAAACAUAUGGGCACAUUUUUAAUACAAUAAGCAUAUAAAAAGCGCAUACUCUCAUUCAGCAAACUCACUACAUUUUACAAUACUUCUAUGCAAUUUAAAAAAAAUGAAAUUCUAAAGUUAUAUGGUCUAUAUAUUUAAAAAAUAUUGGCUUAAGGUCACAAUUCCUCUCAAUGGUAGAACAUCUAUGAAUUAAAAAAUUAUUACAUUUAAUAUUCUGAAAACAAAUCUUGGAUUUAAACUAAUCACCAACAAAAAUAUAUGCAUUUUAAUCACACAAUGUAAACAACUGUGCCACAGAUCUUAUCUGUAUGUUUAGGGUUUUUAAAAUUUAGCAGUUAAAUAUAGAUUAGCAUACUGGUAGGUCUGGUUGGUCUGUUGCUUUAGAUGCUAAGUAAACAUAAUGUCAGUGAUUUCAUCACUAUUUCUAUUAAAAUAUCAGUUUUCUUCUUCAGAGCUUCUCACAUUUGCACCAAUUUUUUACCAUUUGAAUCAUAAAAAGAUAACAAACAAACACGGAUGGAACAUUUGAAAAUACAAUUCAGUUGGUUUCUAUUUUCAUGCUCAUUUUUGCUUGAAAUUAUUCUGCUUGAAUGUGAUUUUUGUUGCUUAAAUUUGAACUUAACUCUUUGUGAAUAUUUAAGGAAUGUAAGGGGUCAGAUUUCAGAUUGCUCAUUAUUUUUGGAACAUUUUGAAUUGUGUACACUGCACUUUCUUGUUAAGCAUUCAUCCAAAUCAUUUGGGUAAAUAUUGGCAGAAAAACUGCUUUUAGUUUUAUACUGGUCAUCAAAACCGGCAUUGACAAAACAUAAGAUGUGUUUAAUUAAUGUGCGGGAAAGAGGUUUAAAGGUGUCCGCCCACAACGAAAAUUAAUGCUUGCGGAUCACAGUACCCCUUCAAGUAGUUCUUGAAAAAAAAUGAUUCUCUCAGGUAGCGUUUGAUUAUGUGUACAUUGUAUCCUUGUAUGUAUUUUCAAGUGUACACAUGAUUUAUAUAAGGUUUGUACAAUUUUAGUUUUAUUUAAAUUUUAAAAUUUUGACUUUUUUUAAAGAUUUGCCUGCCCCUGUCUAAACACUUAAAUACAGGCUGCAUGUUUAAUUUUACUCAAUACAAAGCUUUGUUUAAGUGCGAACAUCAACAUGUUUAUCUAAUUGCAGUUGCUGCUUGGACCAAUGGUACAAUAAAGUUAAGUCAGCAACCGUCUACCAGACUGCAAGAUUCAUCUCUUCCAAAGGAUGUCGUACCUUUCCAGAUACACUGUGUUUUGUGUGGAUAAAAAAUGCAGAGUGGUACCACCAAUCACCUAAGCCACCAUUCCCCUAACAGACAAGAGGCUCAUGGGGACAGUUCCUGCAAUUUACAGAAAAGCUCUCAAUUGUUGCCCUACGAACUUCAGAUACUGCUGAUGGUGAAGCUUGGGUGCACCAGGCCGGUUUUCCAGCCUUGUGGAAUCAACCAGCUGAACUGGGGCCCGGAAUUAUAUAAGACUCCUUAGCAGCAUGAGUGCCAGCCAGUCAUUGCUGUUCUUGCAUUGCUGAGGAGGACAGUCCUGCCAACAUAACAGUUUGUUCAAUAACAGGAGACAAACAGAAACACAGAGGUGCUAUACAUUCUGAUGGAAAAACAAAAGCAUCUCCCAUCAUUUUGGCGUGGCUCAGAUCAAGAGGAGAAUUUUAAGAAAGGUGAUGGUUGGGCACACACAAGAAGACAUAGAUCACAGGUAUCUAGCCAUAUGAGUAGAUAGGAGUGUCACACUCUGCCAAACUUACUUCAUCAGACGAGCAGAAAGCUUCUCAAGAUCCCGCACUGCACACUAAGACAUAGUCUUUGACUACAACAAGGUGAUGAAAGUAGAGAGAGGUCCAAUUGAAAUCAAUUCUGUGCUGCGUCAUUUCUUCAUUCUGGAAGUCGAUGGACAUGAUUUAUCAUGGCAUCAAGUGUGCAGUUUGCCGACUAUCAGCAGUCUUGUUCACCAGCUGUGCAACUUGAGCUGGUAGCUUUAUUGCUUGAAGCCACUGCAUAAGAGGGGGGAGGUGCAGGCUCAUCAAAAAGUCUCAAAAGUUGAAACUAGGAAAAGAAGUUUAUCAAGAGAGUGAAUCUAUUUUGAAAACAAUUGUUACAAUGAUUUGGUUUCCUUUGAAACUUGAUACAUACUAUGAAUUGAGAUGCUUAAAUAAAAAAACGCUAUUCAAAUAUCAGGAAACUGCCUUUUUCAUACUAAAGGGUAAAUGAUGUCGCCAUUUCCUGUAUGUAUUUAAAUAAGAUAUGUCUCCACAAUUAAUAUUUUUAGGGAAUUUUUCUCAACCUAAUGAAUGAGAUUAAAUUGUACAGCGUUAUAUGAGCUCAAUAUGUGUUUUCUCAUUCUUUAAAAUUGGUGAAAAAUUGUCAGAAGAUAAUUAGACCAGUAUCCAUUACUGCAAUCAUACAAUCAAAUAUACAGGGACAAGCCCACUGGGCAUAUAAUAUAAUUAAACCCUGUUUAGGGGCACGAGGCAAACAGAGUUACUUUCAAACGUUAAAGCUGCACUCUCACACUUUGGAUGUUUUGACAACCUUUUUCAUUUUAUGUCUUGGAUUGGAACCAUCCAAUUUUUGCGAAAAAUUAAAUCCCAGAUUUUUCUAUUUAAGUUAAAACAUUGAUGUUUUUUAUGCACUUUUCUUAAACUGUUAGUAACAUUAAUUUUCGAACGGAAAUAUGAAAUCUGCGAUCUGAUCUUUAGUCAGCAAUCUUUUAUCAUUGGUUUGCAGAUAAUUACGCAAAAACUUGCUCAUUCGAAGACAAAAAAAGUUGUGGAAACGGUAUAUCUGUGAGAGUGCAGCUCUAAAUGUUUAAUUGCUUGAUUUUACUACUGUAUUAGAAAUUACAGGGAUUGGGGUAUAUUUUUAGUGUUUUUAUUGCUUGUUUUUGAUUCAUACAGUCAUACUUUAUUAUUCAGGGCACAACUUACAAAUAAACAAAACUGGAAAAUGGUCAUAUCAAAAGGUCAAAGAUAACGCAAGUUGAACAAACAUAUUGUUCAUGGCUUGUAUUUUUGGUAUAUUUUGUUGCAUAUGCUAUAGAAAAGUUGAAAGUUAAAAAUAAAUUCAUAGUUGAAAUGAUGGCUUUGAAUGGUAUUGUCAGAUGAGAAACGGCUCUAUUAAGAAAUAGGUAUAAUGGUACUUUAUUUAUUUUAAUCAAUUUUAGAUAUUAUGAAAAUUAUUAUCUUAUUUAGUACAUGAGACCUUUUAAACAGUUAUUGACAAUAUAACAAUGUGUAUAUGAAGCUUUAGAUCAACACUUAAAGCUGCACUCUUACAGAUUGUCAGUUUAGACACAAAAUUGUCUCAAAAUCGGCUGAUUUGGUUAUCAUUCCUGUAAUUCAGUCAUAUUAGAUAAUCAAAAAUGUUUGGUAAAACUGCCGAAAAGUUAAUUUACAUUAAAUUGUUCGUAAUGCUUUUAGUCAUUGUUCGUAAUGCUUUUAGUCAUAAAACAUCAUUUUUUUUAACAUAAAUAUGAUGAACUGCAAUCUAAUCUUUUUUCAGCAGUCUUAUAUCACUUAAAAUUGGGUCUAGACAUUUCUGCAAAAAAUACUCCAUUUAUAGAUAAACAAUAAAAGAGUACCGGUAGUCAAAACGAGCAAUCGGUGAGAUUGCAGCUUUAAAUACACCUUUUAAGACCGCUGUAAAAUUCCAAUGGUUUUGCCUAAAUCUUUAAAGCUAGCAUACUGUUUAAUUGACAACCAUACUUAUUGUUUAAAAGUGUAAUGAUAUCUUUGUACAAUGUUUUUAUA